rnacentral:rRNA from 1 species
UACAGGGGGUGCAAACGUUGCUCGGAAUUAUUGGGCGUAAAGCGCACGUAGGCGGUUUGUUAUGUCGGAUGUGAAAGCCCUUGGCUCAACUGAGGAAGUGCAUCCGAAACUGGCAAGCUAGAGUAUGUAAGAGGAUCGCGGAAUUCCCGGUGUAGAGGUGAAAUUCGUAGAUAUCGGGAGGAACACCAGUGGCGAAGGCGGCGAUCUGGGAAGAUACUGACGCUGAGGUGCGAAAGCGUGGGGAGCAAACAGG